GACGAACCGUGCGAACGUUGUUCGGAUUCACUGGGCUUAAAGGGCGCGUAGGCGGCUCGCCAAGUCGGGGGUGGAAAUCUUUCGGCUCAACCGGAAAACAGCUUCCGAUACUGGCGGGCUCGAGUGGGGUAGGGGCGACUGGAACUUCCGGUGGAGCGGUGAAUGCGUAGAUAUCGGAAGGAACGCCGGUGGCGAAAGCGAGUCGCUGGACCCCUCCUGACGCUGAGGCGCGAAAGCCAGGGGAGCAAAGCGGG
rnacentral:rRNA from 1 species